rnacentral:lncRNA from 1 species
GCAGUCUUUCUACCUCUAUGUGGCCACAUAAGAAUGACAUCUGACCUGCAACAUUUCCUUACCAAGAGAUACGGAUCCCACAUGGGCUGUGCAAUGUAUUUGUGUUUUAAGCUAAGCGAUAUUACAGAAAAGUCAAAAAGCUUUUAAAAAUUUGAACAUUUAUAAAGUAGAAAAGUUACAGCAAGCAAGGGUUAAUUUAUUAUGGAAGAAAAACUUUAAAUACAUGUAGUGUUGCUUAAGUGUACAAUGUUUAUAAAGUCUAGAGUGUUGUACUGUAAUGUCCUAGCCUUCACAUUCACUCACCUCUCAUCGACUCUCCAGAGCAACUUCCAGUCCUGCAGCCUCCAUUCUUGGAAAAACCAGGCCAUACAGAGGUAUGAGCUGAAGGGACAUGGUGAGAAGUGACCAGAAGACAAGUGUGUGAGCCUCUGUUAUGCCCGGACAGGGCCACCAGAGGGCUCCUUGGUCUAGCGGAACGUUAGCGUCUGGGAAGACGCCUGUUACCAAGCGGAUUGUGGUCUAGCAGUAGCGUCAGUGCCAAGGAAAAGCACCCACUACUUAGCAGACCAGCAAAGGGAGUCUCCCUUUCCCCGGGGGAGUUUAGAGAAGACUCUACUCCACCAUGUCUUGUGGAGGGCCUGACAUGAGUCAGGCCCGCCCGCAGUUAUCUGGAGGUCUAACCGUCUUCCUGUGAUGCUGUGCUUCAGUGGUCACACUACUGGUCCGCUUUCAUGUUCCAUCCUGUACACCUGGCCCUGCCUUCUAGAUAGCAGUAACAAAAUUAGUGAAAGUACUAAAAGUCUCUGAUAUGCAGAAAUAAUGCGUAAGCUGUCUUCUCUCUCUCUCCGCUUCAGCUGCCAAACAGGGAAGGGCCCCCUGUCCAGUGGACACGUGACCCACGUGACCUUACCUAUCAUUGGAGAUGGCUCACACUCCUUACCCUGCCCCCCUUGUCUUGUAUCCAAUAAAUAACAGUGCAGCCUGGCAUUCGGGGCCACUAUCAGUCUCUGUGUCUUGGUGGUAGUGGCUCACCCGGGCCCAGGUGUCUUUUAUCUCUUUGUCUUGUGUCUUUAUUUCUACCACCUCUAGUCUCUGCACACAGGGAGAAAAACCCACAGACCUUGUAGGGCUGGUCCCUACAGUGUUCCAACUGUAUUCAGUACAGUAACAUACUGUAUAGCUUUGUAGUUUAGGAGCAACAGGUUAUACCAUGUAGCCUAAGUGUUCAGUCAGCUAUACCAUCUAGGUUUGUGUCAGUACACUCCAUAAUGAUGAAAUUGCCCAACAAUGCAUUUCUCAGAAUGUAUCCUUUUUUUUUUUGAGACCGAGUCUCACUCUGUCGCCCAGGCUGGAGUGCAGUGGUGCAAUCUUGGCUCACUGCAACCUCUGCCUCCUGGGUUCAAGCGAUUCUCCUGCCUCAGCCUCCCGAGUAGCUGGGACUACAGGCGCGCACCACCAUGCCCGGCUAAUUUUUGCAUUUUUAGUAUAGACGGGGUUUACACCAUGUUGCCCAGGCUGGUCUCAAACCCCUCAGCCUCCCAAAGUGCUGGGAUUUCAGGCGUGAACCACCGCACCCGGCCAGAAUAUAUCCUUAUUAUUUAUUUAUUUAUUUUUUUUUAAUUGAUCAUUCUUGGGUGUUUCUUGCAGAGGGGGAUUUGGCAGGGUCAUAGGACGAUAGUGGAGGGAAUGUCAGCAGAUAAACAAG